rnacentral:rRNA from 1 species
GGGGGGGGGGGGGGGGGGGGGGGGGGGGGGGGGGGGGGGGGGGGGGGGGGGGGCGGGGGGCGCGCGGGGGCGGGGCGCGGGGGGGCCGGGCGGUGGGGUCGGGAUAACUCCGCGGAAGGGGGGCUAGUACCGGGUAAUGUCGGCGGACCCACGAUUUAUCGCCUUUGGAUGGGCCCGCGUUGGAUUAGCUAGUUGGUAGGGUACAAGCCUACCAAGGCGACGAUCCAUAGCUGGUCUGAGAGGAUGCUCAGCCACCCUGGGACUGAGACACGGCCCAGACUCCUACGGGAGGCAGCAGUGGGGAAUAUUGGACAAUGGGCGAAAGCCUGAUCCAGCAAUGCCGCGUGAGUGAUGAAGGCCUUAGGGUUGUAAAGCUCUUUUACCCGGGAUGAUAAUGACAGUACCGGGAGAAUAAGCUCCGGCUCACUCCGUG